rnacentral:lncRNA from 10 species
CCUUGCCGGAGAUUUAUCGAACGUAUUAGUCCUUUUAACAGGAAUCACCUUUGGUUGCUGAAGCAUCCAAAGUGGAAGAACUCUCAGAGGAAACGGAAGUUAAAUCACCAUCUUCUUCUGUGGCUAAACCUAUAACAGUAAGAGGGCAGGAGGAAAAUUCCUGACUAUGACCUGGAUUUCUCCUACUCUCUUAGCCUCUGGAGUAGGGAUAACUCAAUUCAACUUUUCUGCUCUGACUUGUAUUUUGAAGGCCAAGGAAACAAGGCCCAUGCACGCAUGUGCGCGCGCACCUCCCCACCCCCCACACACACUCAGGUUCAUUGUUUUCCCAAUUCCCCAGCAGUUCACAUAUUUCUGUAGACCAAGUCCUUUCCAGUAUCCCCACAAUCUUUUUUCAGAGGCUAUCUUACCAUGAUCUCACCAAGCCCAUGGCAGGAUAGCCCUUCACAAGUUUCUUCCUAAGGAUUCCUCAACCUGCAGAGCUAAAGACUUCUGUCCGAUCUGGGAAUCUACUGCCUUUCUCAGCCAUUUGGACAGCUUCUGAAUACUGUCAGAAUUUGAACCUGAAAAUUUCCAAAUGAGAGACAAUGAAGAGCUUGCUAUUGGCCUUUAAUUGAGUUGCUCCUAUAACUGAAGGACAUGAACUAAUCCUCAAACUUGAAAUACAUAUAAUGUCUUGGUUGAUGUCAGAGAAGCAUUCUAAUGGACAAGACAAUGCCAAGAAGA